rnacentral:lncRNA from 1 species
GGUGCCAUAACCAUGAGCCACCUUAGUCUACACUAAGCUCUGCCCCUGCAACAAAGUAUUCACAUGCUUGUGCAUAGCAUAGGAGUUUGUUUAACAUGAAAACACGCACAUGAGGAGCUUUUUAUUAUCUAUAUGGAGCUCAGAAAGGCUGGAUCUCUCAACAUAUGUACAACCAAAAGAUAGUGAUGCAAAGAUGGAUUGCAGCCAGCCAAAAUAGACUGAGAAUUUCCAUUAUAAGUUGGAGUUUAGUGUUGGGGAUAGGGUGCUUAUUGUAGACUGCAGCAUGCCAAUUGGUUAUUGACAGUACCACGAGCUCCAAAUUUCCCCAUUCUUCGCCUACGAAAUUCGUCACCGUCGGUCAGUCACUACUCGAUUCCUCGCAGCCACAGCGUCUCCUCGAGCUCCCGCAUCCGUUUUGCCGCCUCCCGACCGCCCUCCCUCACUAGGCAAGUCUCCCCACGGGAGCCCCCUCGGCACAUCUUCUGGUUGCCGUGCAGCCCUCUGCUGCACCGUCCCCUCCUCGUCGCAGCGCCGGUGGUGAGCACCCCCUGGCCCAAGGCACUGUUUCCCCGCCGCUAUCCCUCCCCUAAGCCGCGCCAUCCUUCCCUCCCUGCCGUGGCCGGACAAGAGCCCGUCCAAGUCUGUGCUGUGCUGCUUCUGUUUUGUGAUACGCAAGGGUGUGUUUGGAGAAGAAGGGAAAAGGAGAAGGGGUUAUGGGAAAAAUCCAGGGACCUAUACGCGAGUUUUCAGUAGUCUGGGGGCUAUUUUGAAAGUUGAUCACGGUUUUCUUUUAUUUCCUAGAUUAAAUAGCUGCAACUUUGAAAAGGCACAGAACAAUGUAGAAAAAUGAGAAAAAUUUGAAACUUAUUUUGUUGGAUUCCUUGUGAUGUCUAGUUUAUUUCAAAAAUGAUUUUUGUGCAUGUUACUAUUCUGCAGUAGGAGCUAUGAUUUUUUUUGUGUGAAAGCCAUUAAAUGCCUUAUAAAUCACAUAGUGCUCUAAAAAUCUUGAAACCACUUUUGUUAGUUCACUUGUAGCAUGCAUGUUCAAGAUCUAAAACUUGUGCUACUGGUCUAGGUGAUGUUCAUGUUAUUUUAGAUUUAAAAUGCUUAGUUAUGUUGUUUAAACUUCAGAAACAAGAUAACUUUCCAAAUGAAUGAUGAACGUAAAAAUGACCACCACCUUUCUUUGAUGAAUUCUAAGUUAUUAAAACCUUAUAUGUGUACACAAUCACCAUCAAAUAAAAGCUAUAUUUUCAUACCAACCAAACUUGUUGUGUGAAGAAAAGAAAUGUUAAACUUGUAUGGGUGAAUGUGUUCAAAGUGCACCGUGAGAUUUUACAAUAUUUACGAAAUGCAAUCUACAUCGUCAACAUUUAUAAAUGAAAUCUUAUGCAUAUGCAUCUCGUGUAGAAGCUAACCUCGUUGAUGG